AUUGAACGCUGGCGGCAGGCUUAACACAUGCAAGUCGAACGAGCGGCGGACGGGUGAGUAAUGUCUGGGAAACUGCCUGAUGGAGGGGGAUAACUACUGGAAACGGUAGCUAAUACCGCAUACCAUCGGAUGUGCCCAGAUGGGAUUAGCUAGUAGGUGGGGUAAAGGCUCACCUAGGCGACGAUCCGUAGCUGGUUUGAGAGGACGACCAGCCAUACUGGGACUGAGACACGGCCCAGACUCCUACGGGAGGCAGCAGUGGGGAAUAUUGGACAAUGGGGGAAAGCCUGAUCCAGCCAUCCCGCGUGUAUGAUGAAGGCCUUCGGGUUGUAAAGUACUUUUGGCGGGGAGGCGGUAUCUGCAGAAUAAGCACCGGCUAACUCCGUGCCAGCAGCCGCGGUAAUAC
rnacentral:rRNA from 1 species